UACGUAGGGCGCAAGCGUUAUCCGGAAUUAUUGGGCGUAAAGAGCUCGUAGGUGGUUUGUUACGUCUGCUGUGAAAUCCUAGGGCUUAACCCUGGGCUUGCAGUGGAUACGGGCAGACUAGAGGUAGGUAGGGGAGAAUGGAAUUCCUGGUGUAGCGGUGAAAUGCGCAGAUAUCAGGAGGAACACCGGUGGCGAAAGCGGCUCACUGGACCAUUACUGACGCUGAGGCGCGAAAGCUAGGGGAGCAAACAGG
rnacentral:rRNA from 1 species